rnacentral:lncRNA from 1 species
GGAAACCUGAUCCAACGUCUGGCUGCCAAAGGCACUGCGUUGGCAUUCAGGAGGUUCGUGAUAAAACUCCCUGGGUAACCCUGGGCAAGCCCCUAAACCCCUUCGGAAAGAGGAUCCAGGCAGCAGUACUCUCUGCCCUCUCCACUCCUUCCCCUCUUUCACUGCCUUGCUCUGAGUUUAGCUUCGUGGCACUUCGUCACCCAAUGAAUCUCAGUGGCUCCGUAGCCUUUGGGGGAGCGGCACCAGAUUUCCACGACAGCAAACGAGUCGGGAACAUGACCCUUCUGUUUAACGCCCAACUGGUGCUUUCGUUUAAUGCAAGAACCAAAUGCAAAGUGAUUCAUCAUACUCGCUUUCAUGAUACGCCGGCUGGGUAUUAGAAAUGCUGGGAGCUUUGUUGCUUGGCAGAGAUUCAAACCAGUUAUUUAAGAGGAAAUUCUGCUUAUUAAAAGAGUCCAGUGAUUAGGUUAUCAUCAUCUCGACUUCUCAUUUUUCCCUGUUCACAAUGAAAGCUUGAAAGAGACAGAAAUUUAUUUGGUUGUUUUUAAAGGCACGAGCUGAAAUGCUCUCCCAGGCAGGAAAUAGAGAUGUUAUUAGUUCACAGCCCCCCGGGGGAGAUGGCAGGCGGUCAGGCAUGUGUUCCCCGGAGUCGGAGUCAUAAAGCAACACAAACCGGAACAGCUCCUCUCCCCAGUGAGGUUGUAAAGCUGUCAGCUCCACACUUGACAAGAGCCAGGCCGCCCUCCUUCCCUUUGUCUCCUGAAGAAGGAAAAUAUUUAGGUGUCACUGGCGGGAUGGCUGUGGUGGAAGUCAACAGACCUCGACCCAUCCAUUGAUCUGAGCCAUGAGAGGAGAGAGGAAUUUCCACUGUGAGCAGCUGUGACGGUGCUGGUGGCUGGGGACUGGGGUACAUCCAUCCGUUACCACCUCCCCAUCUGCCCAGAAGCUUUCACAUGCUGGUGCUCAGCCCCUUGGGGUGGAGGAGACCCUUUGGAGCCCCCCCAGCUGCUGGCAGAAGUGCGACAUCAAAACAACUUCCCAGGCAGCCAGACACUGGCUCCUUGGUAAGAGGUUGAUAAAGGGUGUGAUGCUGGGUCUCUUCAAAGGAGAAGUGUCCCCCAUCCAGGUCUCCAAAGGACAGCUUAAGGGCCGAAUGUUUUCCAAACCUGCUGGCUGAGUGUUAACAUCAGGCCCCAUCCCUGGGUUUAUAUAAGGAGCAGCAGAGUGGCUGUGGAUGGCAUGUGUCUCCAUAUUUACGGUAAAAUAAGUGAGGCAAGCUCCCUGAAAUUCCCUCUUGCGUGUGCCCUGCAAAUGGACUCCUCUCAGCAGUUCCUGGCUUCUGCAUUUUGCAGCAAAGAGAGGGAGACACAGGGUCUGCAGCCCUGCUGGACUCCCAUGAGUGUGAGCAUCCCUGCAUGAAGCUAUAAGGCUGAAUGCUCUGCUUCCCCUUCAAGCCAAAAAAAUGCAUUAUCAUGGGGCAGGUGGAUAUGCAUCAGCUGUGGCAUGGCAGGAAACAAGCAGAGAAGAAAACAGCUCCUUGGGCAGAGCCUGGGCCCAGUAGAAACAUGGAAUUGAAAAUAAUUUCUCCUUCUGCCCCUGCCCACUUAACACAAAGCAUUUUCAAGCCAGGCCAUUUUUUUUGGUAGAAAAGCCCUUCAGCUGGCACCUUCAGCACUUGAUAAGUUUCUAUCACCCCUGUGUUUGAGCCCAAAGUGUCUGCCUAUGUGAUAACGAGUGUUUCACGAUGGUCCUCGGUGACAUCCAAAUGCAGCGGAGCCAUCACUGCUGCCACACGUUAUUCUGGAGCUGUUCUUGCUGCCGUGAAACUCAGGACAUCAGGCCAGGAGGCCUCGCAGUACAUUUAAUGUGCAUGUUAGCACUCCAUUAAAUAUUGACUAUGCUUAAAUAAAUGAUGCAGCCAACUUUCA